rnacentral:lncRNA from 1 species
AUGCCUGUAAUCCCAACACUUUGAGGGGCCACGGGAGGAGGAUCUCUCGACUAGGAGUUCAAAACCAGCCUGAGGAACACAGUGAGACCCCAUCUCUACAAAAAUUUUAAAAUUAGCCAGGCAUGGUGGUGUGUGCCUGCAGUCNNNNNNNNNNNNNNNNNNNNNNNNNNUUGCCCAGGCUGGAGUGCAAUGACGCGAUCUCUGCUCACUGCAAGCUUCACCUCCUGGGUUCACGCCAUUCUCCUGCCUCAGCCUCCCGAGUAGCUGGGACUACAGGCAUGCGCCACCUCGCCUGGUUAAUUUUUUGUAUUUUUAGUAGAGACGGGGUUUCACCGUGUUUGCCAGGAUGGUCUCGAUCUCCUGACCUCGUGAUCCACCUGCCUCGGCCUCCCAAAGUGCUGGGAUUACAGGCAUGAGCCACCACAUCCGGCCUCAAAACCAAAGAUAAAAUCUUGAAGGCAGGCAAGGAAGAGGAAAAGAUUACAUACAGGGGAAUAAAGAUAGAGCAGACAUCUCUAAAAACCAUACAAGUCACAA